AAGAGAGAAUGAGAAUGUAGAGCCAUUUGCUGGCUCAGCUUAAGGCCACAGCUUUCUUAGCAAUGCAGCUUGUACAGUUGUCAGAGCUUUCUGGUAGAACCCUAGUCUGGGUGCAACAGUCACAGAGACAAAUAUGAAAAUAGGAACAUGUAUGAAAACUUAAACCCUUAAAAAGAAAGACGCUUAGCCUCUAUUUAUUUCCAAAUAAUUGCUGUUCAAGGCAUUGCUCUUUAUCUCUUGGGCCCCAUGACAGAGUGGCUUAAAAUAAAUCAUCAAGUCUUCAGGGCAAGUGUGAUUUAUUUUUUGGUCAUAUACUGCUGCUUUGUCAUUCUAUGUAAUUAUUAUAUUCAGCCAGUCUGCUUAUCAUUGGUUACAGCUUCAUAAUGUCACAAAUAAUCCUGCUUAUGUUUAUCUGUCUAGGUGUCAGCCAUCCAUGCCAUAAAUCCUAUAACAACCUAAUAAUAUUCUCUUCAUGUGUUUUGUGCAGAAGCUACAUUGCAAUAAGUAUGGCUUUCACAUAAAUAGAGAGUUUUGGAGUACAGGAGUGACUCGGGGAAAAGUGUGAUUCCACAGAUGGUGCUACUCAGACAAAUCAAAGGGCUGAAUGUAGUAUCUGGCAAAUCCAUCUUUAAUGCAGCCAUUCCUCUACAUGGCUUUGGUUUAGAGUAUACAUUAAUGCAUUAACUCUAGGCUAGUACAGAGCUUAAUGAUGCAUCCCUGCUUAAUUUCUACCAAUUUCACAGAGGAUAUUUUUGUCUCCUGCAAGUAGGAAUCAAGAAAGUUUACUAGAUGUGCUCAUAGUGUAGUGAGCCUUAUGUGGGAAAAGGAAAACCAACACCUUUGAAUUCUUUCAUUCUGUGUGGAGUUGCCCUAAAUUAAGCUGAUGCUUCAGUGUCUUCAUCCCUUACACAAUCAGUUGCAUCACUCCUCCACCACAGAGCCAUAAAACUCACUGGUCUAGUCAGUGCUUUAGAUGUUUCAGGUGCCUAAUAACUUUUGGCAACUUUUUUUUUUUUUUUUUUUUUUUUUUUUGCUAUUGGCCUAUAGGUCAUCUCAGCAUUAUCAAAACUAAGUUUGAUAACUUACAUUCUAUUUGCAUACGGCUUUUAACUUGUUAGGAAUGGAAAUCCACCUUUUUGAAGUUCCACUGUGUUACAGAGUCUUUACAAGUUCCAAUCUUGUAAACUAGGUAUGAUUAUCCCUUUUUAUGGAUAAGGAAACUCAUGUUCAGAAACUUAAGUAAUCUUCUCAAUGAUAUAUAUCUAGCAACUGGUCGAACCAGGAUUCAAAUUUUAUGUCUAAUAAUUGUGAACAAAAUCCAUCAAAUAACCAUCCAAAACCCAGCCUGUGAACGCAUUUAAAGAAAUUUUGCUCUAGAAUCAGCACUGAUUUUCAACUCUGCUGUCUUCUGUGAACAUUGCAUAAUAAACUAACACUAAGUCAAACACAGACCAUGUUCCCACCCAAGUCAGCCUUGGUUCCCAAGCACAAGUCGCUUUCAGAAUAGCUUGUUGUUGAAGCAGGAAAAAAAAAAUUGUGCUUGAUUUGGCCUUGAGUAGCAAUGUGAAUUAUAAAGGAAGUUAAGCAUGGCUUGCUAGAAGAGUCCCAGCGGUGCUGGUGCUUCUAUAGAAUUAAUUGGAGAGUCUUUUUUUUUUUGAAGUCCCAGGCAGCCAAUGAGUGAAAAUGCAUAAUUUAUGCAAGUGUUGGGGAAAAGGCACACCUGUGCCAAGAUAAGAUUUUCCUAUCUUGGAUGAGUGGGAAGUUUAAUUUUUCUGCAAAAAUAAAUUGGAAGCCUAAAUAUUAGAACUUAUGGGGAAGAGUUAUGCCUUCUAAUGUAUUUAAAUAAACGUGAGGUUCUUUUGUUCCUUU
rnacentral:lncRNA from 1 species